rnacentral:tRNA from 1 species
GGGGAAGUAGCAUAAUGGUUAUGCAAAAGAGUUUCACACUUCAGGCUCUGAAGUCCCAGGUUCAAUACCUGGUAUCACCA